UUAAUUAUUUUCUGAUUUCAUAUAUGCCUUUUGUUGUUUUAAGUUUUAACUGAUCAGUUUAAUGAUUAGUUUAUAUAUGUGUGCAUAAUAAUUAUUUUUACGUGAAACAGAUCUAAAAACAUUCGUAGGAUAAAUAAUUUUCUCUUUUGGUUUUAAUUGUAUGUAAAUAUAGUAUACCAAUCAAAACUUUCAACCAACCGAGUUAAACGCGAUUUUUAUAAGCAAUUGAUAAUGACAUACAAUACUACCAUAUAGAAAAAGUAUCCGUCCCUGUAUUAUACUAUGUAAGUUAUGUGGACCGAAAUAGAAGAUGCGUAUAAUUAACUCAAGCAACUCUACAGUCAAUCAUUAAACCUUUUCUUUUAUCGUGACAAUGUCUAUAUAUAUAAAGUAUGGUUUGCUCUCUUCUGGAGCAUGCCACCUAUGAUUCCACGUCAUAAAAUCGUGAUCCGUGGUGACGACACGUGUCCCUGUUUGAGUUUUUGUUUAGAUACGAGAUGGACCUUGCUGUUGGAGUUUUGUCUUAGGUUAUUUAGGUUUUAAUGUACAAAAGCCCAGCCCGUUUGUGAGCUAAUCUUCUCACGACAACUACCAGUUAGGGUUCACCUCUUCUCCGAUAUCUGGAAAGCUUCAACAACAAUGGUGACUUCUGAUGGGUUUUUUUUUUGCGGUAGAUCUUCAUGGAGAAUCUCUCAUCGAGCUCAGUUCGUUUCGUGUAUACUGGGAUUCUUCUCUUCCGAACCGUUACAGAAUGCAUUGAAUCGUUACCAUUAAUGAACGUCUUAACUCUUCGAUCCACUCUUCCUCAUUCAAUGCAUCUGCACUCUCUUCCAAGAGAUGCAUCUGCAACUAUAAAAAGGUAAUCCUUCGUACCGUAAACAUCAUCCUAAAAAAAUUAUCUCUUUGAGAUUUUAUAAGGUUUUCAAUCUAAGAAAGUUUAGAUUUUUAUUGGUUUCUUGCUAUUCUCCUUCAGUUAAUUUGUUUGUUUCUAAUUUACAUUCUUAUGUUCUUUGAGUUACUGUUGAUUUCUUAUAACUUGAUCGUUUAUGAUUUUGCAGAAUCUUCCAACUCUUAUGCCAAAAUAUACAGUUUUGGAUGUUCUCAAAAUCUUAGUUGGUAAGGAAUCGAUCACCUAACACAGUCUUUUUGAUUUCUAUAGGCUCUUCUUAUAUGCUGUUUCAUAAAAGUAAAUGUUUCUUUUUCGCUGGGGAUCUAAAAAGACAUCCGAUUCUCAUACACUGCAAAGCAAGAAAUGUAAUCUACAGACAUCAAUUUUUUAUGUCUUCUUUUUUUAAGAGAAGUUAAUAAAGGAUAUUUUUUUGUGGUCUUUUAUGAGAUUAGUUCUCUGCAAGACAUUAAUGGUUUGAUGGUUAUGACGAGAACUCAAUAUGAAUGCGGCAUAGGAAAAGUUGUCUGGUAGGGUGCUUAAAAAAAAGUUCAGAGCUGGGUUUUAUUAUCGGUGAGUAUAACAAGUUGCUUAGCUUCAAGUUCUUUCUCGAAAGCACACUGCUUUGUUCAUCAUCGUUAAAGCCUAUAUUAACAUUUCAACCUUUCUCUUUAAGGUGAAAUUGUUAUAAACAUGGUUGUAGGAGGUGAAGUAACCACUCUCAAAGGCCUUGAAGAAAUCAGCGGCAUUAUCAUCACAGAGAUGCUAAUCAAUGUUUCUGAGAACUUACAAAAAUUUAAGGACUCCUAUGAUCUGAAGAAUACCAUCAAAAUUUGUUUGAUGUCUCUUGAGCUUCAAAUUAUAUGUUACCUGACCUUCUCUAUGGAAUCUAUUGUUUGUGUUAAACUACAGAAGAUGUCUCCAUGUCUCUCUACUGCACUUAGCCAUUAAGUUGAUCACUAUGGUCUACAAGUAUGCGUGUUUUAAAUUGGAAGUGGAGACGAAGGGAAUCAAAUUCACGGAGACAUUUGAUAUCAUGCUCUCAUUCCUAAUCAUCUAAGCAAAUUUAUAAAGAACAUUGUACUUCUCUCUCAAAACCUUUCUAAACACCAAAGUGAGAUUUUAAAUAAUGUACUAACUGUUUUUAUUCUUUUCACUUAUAAAAGAAAAUAAUCAGAAGAUAACGUAAAACAAACAAAUGCAUGAGCUAUUUGUCUUUGUUAAACGUACAAAAUUCUCAAUAUUAACUUCAAGACAUUUAAUAGUCUGUUAACUUUAUUGGUAAAAUGAUAGUGAUUCGUUGUGACUUUUCUAUUCCACAAAGGAUAGAACAAUUGUUGUGAAAUAUUUUUUGUUUAUAGUAUAAAACAAUUAUUAUUGCAAUAAAUAUUUUCUACUUCAUCAAAUUCAAGCCAAGGAAAAAAUGAAUGAAAUAAUCAAAGGUUAUCCUUUUCCUGACCAAAUUCAAAUUUAGAUAAAUUAAAUAUUUAAUCGAAAACCAAAAAGAAAAAAAUAACACACCAUCAAAAAUAAUUUUGUAAACAAUUAUCCAAAAUAGUAAAUAUAAACUAAAUAGAAUUACAAUUUAGUGAAAUACACAAUAUAACAAAAUACAUAAUAUAGCACAAAUAUGUAAUUUAACAAAAAUAUAAAGGUUUACCUAAAAAAAAUAUUUUUCAAAAACACACACAAUGGAUUAGUUCAAGCAUCCGAUGAACCGCCAUAAGCCUCAGUAACAGCAGGUGAAAACAGAUGUUUUCAUGUUUAAACAGUGGAGGCCGUGGCAACUACAGGACAAACGUUUAUGUUAAUCUAAGAGACACUGCGAGUUGUUUACUUCUACUAAACCGGCACACAUUCUAUUUUCAGAAAGUAAUUAUCCAAUAUUGACAUCGUACUUAUACAAAAUAAAUACCAUAAAAAAACAAUUUUAUCAAAACAGAUCUUAGCUAAGUGAGAUGCAGACCCGUUUCAAUAAACAAAAGGAAAAGACGACAUAUGGCUCGGAGCAUAACCUCCCCUAUAAAAUUCCCCACCCACUAAACAUUUGUUUACUAUUUUAAAUAUACGUAGUUUUAUUAUUUUAAUAUUUAAUUAGUUACGCCACAUAUCUACUAAAAGAAAAGUUGAAAAGAGUAAACUAAGAUCUUUGAUUAGAAUGAUUAUUCUUUACUUUAGUUUAUAAAAUUAAAUACUAAUAUCAUAUUAUAAAUUAUGCAACUUUGGUCCAAAGUAGGCCUAAAUUUGAAUUUUGUUUUUCUCAAUUUAUGUAUUUCAUUAGUUUAUGAACUUUAAAGUGAUUACUAAGUUUUUAUAAUUCGUAGAAUCCCUAAAACAUUAACUAAAAUAAUCAAAAUAUGAAAUUACAAUAUUAAUAACCAUAUAUAUAUAACCAUAUUUAACUAACUAUAACAAAUUUAAACCAAAUUAGAAGCUGAAAAAUAAAAACAUGCCUAAAUUGAAUAUUUUACAAAAUCAAAUAGUUAAAAUACCCAACAAAUUUAAUAAAUAACAAUAAAUUUAAAUAAAAAAUACAGAAAUAUUGUAUUUUAUUUUUUUAAUAAAUAUUCAUGUUUGCGUGCAGGUGUGGAGGUGAAAAAAAAAAACCUAACCAAAGCGAACCGAUCCCAAACCGAACCAAAGUAUAUGCCUAAACCAUUUGAUUCAAAAUUUUGCCAACCCAAAUAGUUUGGUUUGGUUUUAAACCAAAUUGAACUGAAAAUGAAAUAUUUUUAAAUUAGAUUAAUUAUACUAAUAAUAUUAAGAUUUAAUAUAUUUAACUAUUUAACCUAAACAACUAUAUAUAAUUUAUACAUUUUACUUCUAAAUGAAUAGAAUAAAAACAACUAAAAAUAAUAAAAAGUAUGAAUCUCAAACAUUAAUAUCAGAACUGAAUAAUUAUUUAUGAUAUUGGAUUACGUCUUCUACAUUUUUAUUGUGAUGUUUGGUUUUAUGUAUAAAUGUAAAGAAAAUAACGAUUUAAUGUAAAAUGAUGAUUUGUUUGUGUUGAAUACAUAUAUUUUGUAAUUUAACUUAAAGAAAACUAAAAGAUCGAACAAACUGAUAAACAUAAAUAAAACCAAAUUAAACUGAACCAAACACAAACCAAACUGCAAUAAACCAAGCCGAACACAAACCAAAUAGAACCAAACCGAACAUAAACCAAAUCAAACUAAUAUAGAUUAACUUUGGUUAAAUUUUUCUUAGACUUAAAUAAACCAAACCGAACUAAACCCAAACCGAAUUCAUAAUUAAACCAAAAUGUUCAUCCUAAUAAUGUUCUUUUUAUAUAGAAAUACAUAACAGUUAUAAAAAACCCUUAAAUAAAUUUCUGUGCAAAAGUAAAAUAAAAAUAUUAUUAUUAGUACCUAUUCUUCUCUAAGCAAGGACCAAGAUUCAUGCUAGGGUGAUUGGUCUAUGGUGAUGGUUUUGUAAAAAUGAUUACCGGAGACAUAACCUAACGAAUUAUCUAUGGAGUUAAGUUUUUUUUUUUUUUGACUAAAGAAGUAUCACAUGUUUCAACUACAAACAUUACUACAAGUUAACCCCGUUAUUCAUAGACUCGAUAAUUGAAUUAUAUAUUAAUCAUACGAAUUAUGAUUUCAUCCUUAUAAAAACCAUAAAACUUACACCAAAACAAUCUAAAUAUAAAAAAAAACAAAAGAAAACAAAAAUAUCCUAAAAAAACA